GAUGAACGCUGGCGGCGUGCCUAAUACAUGCAAGUCGAGCGAACAGACGAGGAGCUUGCUCCUCUGACGUUAGCGGCGGACGGGUGAGUAACACGUGGAUAACCUACCUAUAAGACUGGGAUAACUUCGGGAAACCGGAGCUAAUACCGGAUAAUAUAUUGAACCGCAUGGUUCAAUAGUGAAAGACGGUUUUGCUGUCACUUAUAGAUGGAUCCGCGCCGCAUUAGCUAGUUGGUAAGGUAACGGCUUACCAAGGCAACGAUGCGUAGCCGACCUGAGAGGGUGAUCGGCCACACUGGAACUGAGACACGGUCCAGACUCCUACGGGAGGCAGCAGUAGGGAAUCUUCCGCAAUGGGCGAAAGCCUGACGGAGCAACGCCGCGUGAGUGAUGAAGGUCUUCGGAUCGUAAAACUCUGUUAUUAGGGAAGAACAAAUGUGUAAGUAACUGUGCACAUCUUGACGGUACCUAAUCAGAAAGCCACGGCUAACUACGUG
rnacentral:rRNA from 1 species